UACGUAGGGUGCGAGCGUUGUCCGGAAUUAUUGGGCGUAAAGAGCUCGUAGGCGGUGUGUCGCGUCGGUCGUGAAAACUUGGGGGCUUAACCCUGAGCUUGCGGUCGAUACGGGCAUCACUGGAGUUCGGCAGGGGAGACUGGAAUUCCUGGUGUAGCGGUGAAAUGCGUAGAUAUCAGGAGGAACACCUGCGGUGUAGACGGCUUACUGGGACGGUAACUGACGCUGAGGCACGAAAGCGUGGGUAGCAAACAGG
rnacentral:rRNA from 1 species